ensembl:lncRNA
AUAUUUGCACUGUGUCCUAGAGAGCCUCUAUGCAUUUCAACUCCGAUUUGCCUUCACCAUCUACCUGCAGCCCACAACCGCAGGACCCCGCCCCUGGCCCUGAAUCUUCCGUGUCCUGGUGCCAAGCAGGCCUGGCCAGCCCUGUGGCUCCUUGGAGGAAUCUGGGUGCCUCCUGUCCUGACUAUCUGACAAGCCCCAGGUGAGAAGGCCUGAGUUCACCUGUGCUGCCACUUGUAACCUGAUGGCCUCGGCACCCUCACAGGGUUCGAAUAGCUGCCCUUUCCACCUGUUUCCCAGAUUUUCCAUACCACCCAGAGGCUCAUAUUCGACACCACAGCCUACAAGUCAACCAGGGCCUUUGGCCACAUGUACUGAUGAUGAGAAUCACUAGACUGUAAGCUGCAAAAGGGCAAGGACGGUGUUUUGUUUCCUGCUACCCCCUGCACCUGAGGCCUAGCAAGGAUUGCUGCUCGGAUGAAGGAGAGUGAGUGUUUGUGGAACUCUUUGCAAAAGCCAUGGGAAGACCUUCCUGUGCCUUCUCAGGUUCAGUUCUCAGACAGCCCCCGCCUUUCCAGAUGAGGAAACAGAGUCUAAGAAAGGAGAAUAAAAUUGUCCAGGGUUACAGGAAAGCAGUGAGGCUGGGAUUUGAACCCCAGCCUGUUGGACUCAACACUUCCUCUGAAAAGAUGGGAAAAGUGGGCUGCCUCCUUCUGGCUUCGGGAACUGGCAGAGAGGAGCAGAGCUGGGCUGGACACGUUACCUCCCCAGCUCUGCAGCACCCAUGGGUUCCCAGGGUCCUCUUCCUCCGUUUGGCCCUUUUCUUCUCCGGACCCUCCAACCUUCGAGGACUGGACUCCUAGCAGGGAGCACAGAGCAGAGAACAGAGGAAGCCCAUCUGAGGAGAGCAUUCUGGAGCAGAUGGGGCACACAGAGAGCCCCCAAACCUGAGCCUCACCUGGAGAGUGGCUCCCUGCAAGCUGAGCCAGGGCCCUGGGACACUGACUGAGGGCAGAGCAUGCCUCUCCGAUUUGCUGGGCAGGAGGCUAAUUGGGCUAAAUGGGUUUUGUUGAUGGUGACUCUUUGUUCCCCCAUGGCGGCUCCAUCUGAGGAGUGUUUUGGAGGCUGUUCAUUCUCCCUGCUUCCCCUGCUUGCUGCUGCCCCAGAGGCAAGGAGAGCAGCCUCCCAGUGGCCUGCUGGUUUGUAAAAGAGUCAGGUGUGGGAGGUUGCAUCACGUGCUCCUCUGGACUCAUGGUCUGCAUGGACAUAUGACAAGUGUGGCUGUAGGUCGAUGAGCCGUGUGCGGCUUGGUAAUGGACAGUGGAUGGGCCAGCGGGAGCAGCAGGUGACUCGGGCCCCAGGGAUGAACAUGGGGGAGCUGGGUCUGAUAUAGGCAGGAAGGAGACGUCAGCAGCAGUAGCCCCGGAGUUGGGGGGAGCCAGAGACAAGGCAGAGAUGCCUGGAUGAUCUGUUCUGCAGAAAUAACAACCACAAAUCCAGGGCUGGACCUGGCUGUGACCUGGCCUGGCCAGGGGUGGUGAGCAGCAGGUGUGCUGAUUGCACUUAGGAAGGGCAUCGGGGUGGGGCGCAGUGGCUCACACCUGUAAUCCCAGCACUUAGGAGGCUGAGGUGGGUGGAUCACGAGAUCAAGAGUUCCAGACCAGCCUGGCCAACAUAGUGAAACGCUGUCUCUACUAAAAAUACAAAAAUUAGCCUGGUGUGGUGGCAUGUGCCUGUAGUCCCAGCUACUCGGGAGGCUGAGGCAGGAGAAUCGCUUGAACCCGGGAGGCAGAAGUUGCAGUGAACUGAGACUGCGCCAUUGCACUCUAGCCUGGGCAACAGAGCAAGACUCCAUCUCAAAAAAAAAAAAAAAAAAAGAAAAAAAA